UCAUGAACCGUCAUGGUCUCUGUCUUCGUCAGCGAACAAAGAUAGAGCAAAAGCUGCCGAGAGAUCUGGAAGGAAAAAAAUCAAAUCUUUCCAAAGGUUUAUUAUAAAAUAUCAAACAAACUGUCACAAAUAGGAAAUAUGGACAAACUACCAAUGACAUUCGAUCUCCUGAGCAACAGUACGGUAACCGGUGUUGGUGAAAAAACAGUUUUAAUUAAAACCACUGGCCAUAAAAAAAUCCAUUUUAUGGUGGUUUUAUUGUGUUUGGCAAAUGGACCAAAGCUCCCUCCUGUUGUUAUUUUUAAAAGAAAAACCUUGCCUAAAAACAUGAGAUUUCCUGUUGGUGUCAUCGUACAUGCACAUGAAAAGGGAUGGAUGGAUGAAAGUGGGACUAUUGAAUGGCUGGAAAAAGUGUGGAAUAAGAGACCAGGAUCACUUUUCAAGAAACCUCUACACUCAUAAAUAGACAGCUAAGAGUUAAU